rnacentral:tRNA from 1 species
GGGCCUGUAGCUCAUUGGCAGAGUGCCUGCCUCUUAGGCAGGAAGCCUUAGGCUCAACACCCAGCACUUCCA